CAGUAGCCGCGGGAAUACAGAGGGUGCAAGCGUUAAUCGGAAUUACUGGGCGUAAAGCGCGCGUAGGUGGUUUGUUAAGUUGGAUGUGAAAUCCCCGGGCUCAACCUGGGAACUGCAUCCAAAACUGGCAGGCUAGAGUAGGGCAGAGGGUGGUGGAAUUUCCUGUGUAGCGGUGAAAUGCGUAGAUAUAGGAAGGAACACCAGUGGCGAAGGCGACCACCUGGGCUCAUACUGACACUGAGGUGCGAAAGCGUGGGGAGCAAACAGGAUUAGAUACCCCCGUAGUCCCUGUCUCUUAUAC
rnacentral:rRNA from 1 species